GAGGGUAUAGCUCAGUGGUAGAGUGCAUGCCUAGCAUGCAUGAGGUGCUGGGUUCAAUCCCCAGUACUGCCA
rnacentral:tRNA from 1 species